rfam:Flavobacterium sp. TAB87 contig000035, whole genome shotgun sequence.
UCAUCAGUAAAAAAGAAAUAUGAAAACAAUUACUAACAAUACAUGGUGGUGGAACAAUUUACGUCGAUAGUCGUGAACAAAGCUCCUAUGGUAUAAUUAGUACACUAUAAAUAUAAAAGGCUUGUC